rnacentral:rRNA from 1 species
GUUGAUCCUUGGCUCAUGAUGAACGCUUGGCGGCGUGCCUGAUACAUGCAAGUCGUGCGGCAGCGAGUUUAGCACUUAUUUUUUGAUCGGGAUAGACAGAUCUAUACCUAUUAUAAAUCGAGGAAUAAGUGCUAAAUGUCGGCAAGCGGCGGACGGCUGAGUAACGCGUAAGAAUUCACCCCAAAGUGAGGGAUAACUGCCCGAAAGGGUAGCUAAUACCACAUGUGGUCUACGGAUUAAAGCUAUUAGCGCUUUGGGAGAAGCUUGCGUUCGAUUAGCUUGUUGGUGAGGUAAUGGCUCACCAAGGCGACGAUCGAUAGCUGGUCUGAGAGGAUGAUCAGCCAGACUGGAACUGAGAUACGGUCCAGACUCCUACGGGAGGCAGCAGUAAGGAAUCUUCCACAAUGGGCGAAAGCCUGAUGGAGCAACGCCGCGUGCAGGAUGAAGGCCUUCGGGUCGUAAACUGCUUUUAUGUGCGAGGAAUAUGACGGUAACACAUGAAUAAGGAUCGGCUAACUCCGUGCCAGCAGCCGCGGUCAUACGGAGGAUCCAAGCGUUAUCCGGAGUGACUGGGCGUAAAGAGUUGCGUAGGUGGUGAUGUAAGCGAAUAGUGAAAUCUUGUGGCUCAACCAUGAGGCUAUUAUUCGAACUGCAUUGCUUGAGAGCGAGAGAGGUAGAUGGAAUUCCCAGUGUAGGAGUGAAAUCCGCAGAUAUUGGGAGGAACACCAAUGGCGUAGGCAGUCUACUGGCUCGUUUCUGACACUGAGGCACGAAAGCGUGGGGAGCGAACCGGAUUAGAUACCCGGGUAGUCCACGCCGUAAACUAUGGAUGCUAGCUGUUGGGCGAAUCGACCCGUUCCAGUAGCGAAGCUAACGCGUUAAGCAUCCCGCCUGGGGAGUACGGUCGCAAGAUUAAAACUCAAAGGAAUUGACGGGGACCCGCACAAGCGGUGGAUCAUGUUCUUUAAUUCGAUGCUAAGCGAAGAACCUUACCAGGGUUUGACAUCCCGAGAAUUACUGCGAAAGCAGUGAGUGCCAGCUUUUAGCACAGAAGAGCUAUUUUUUGUGUGCUGCAAGCUGGAACUCGGUGACAGGUGUUGCAUGGCCGUCGUCAGCUCGUGUCGUGAGACGUUUGGUUAAGUCCAUCAACGAGCGCAACCCCUAGUGUUAGUUGUAUUUUUCUAACACGACUGCCUCGGUAACGGGGAGGAAGGAGGGGAUGAUGUCAGGUCUGUAUUACCCUUACGCCCUGGGCUAGAAACGUGAUACAAUGGUCAGUACAAUGCGAAGCCAACUCGCGAGAGGGAGCAAAUCGCACCAAAGCUGAUCCCAGUUCGGAUUGUAGGCUGAAACUCGCCUGCAUGAAGAUGGAAUCGCUAGUAAUCGCAGGUCAGCACACUGCGGUGAUACGUUCCCGGUCUGCAACUCCC